AUUGAACGCUGGCGGCAGGCCUAACACAUGCAAGUCGAGCGAGCGGCGGACGGGUGAGUAAUGUAUGGGGACUGCCCGAUAGAGGGGGAUAACUACUGGAAACGGUAGCUAAUACCGCAUACUAUCGGAUAACCCAUAUGGGAUUAGCUAGUAGGUGAGGUAAUGGCUCACCUAGGCGACGAUCCCUAGCUGGUCUGAGAGGAUGAUCAGCCAAACUAGGACGGAGAAACGGGCCAGACUCCUCGGGAGGCAGCAGUGGGGAAGUUUGCACAAUGGGCGAAAGCCUGAUGCAGCCAUGCCGAGUGUAUGAAGAAGGCCCGAGGGUUGUAAAGUACUGUCAGUCGGGAGGCGUUACCGACAGAAGAAGCACCGGCUAACUCCGUGCCAGCAGCCGCGGUAAUAC
rnacentral:rRNA from 1 species